rnacentral:rRNA from 1 species
AUUGAACGCUGGCGGAAUGCUUUACACAUGCAAGUCGAACGGCAGCACGGGGGCAACCCUGGUGGCGAGUGGCGAACGGGUGAGUAAUGCAUAGGAAUCUGCCUUGUAGUGGGGGAUAACCCGGGGGAAACUCGAGCUAAUACCGCAUAAUCUUUACGAAGCAAAGUGGGGGACCGUAAGGCCUUACGCUAUAAGAUGAGCCUAUGUCGGAUUAGCUAGUUGGUGGGUAAAGCCUACCAAGGCGACGAUCCGUAGCUGGUCUGAGAGGAUGAUCAGCCACACUGGGACUGAGACACGGCCCAGACUCCUACGGGAGGCAGCAGUGGGGAAUAUUGGACAAUGGGCGAAAGCCUGAUCCAGCAAUGCCGUGUGUGUGAAGAAGGCCUCGGUUGUAAG